AGCUGGUCCUUGCUAAAUAUCCGUGUAUGUACAAGUUUCACAUAUUUAGCACGACUGGCUAG
rnacentral:pre_miRNA from 1 species